GAACUUAUUAUUCUCCUUCUUGGAGCCUAAUCGUUCUCAUAGCACCUUGUUGGCUGGCUACUUUAACAAGCAUUUGGUCUAAAGUUUGGAGAUUGAUAAGUUUCAAAAUAUGGAAAAGGAAUGGAACUAGAAAUGUUAGUGAUUUCCAACUGUAGCUCCUCCGUUGUGAAGAAUCUUUAAGUCAAUUUUCCAGUUGGAAUGUUAUACCAGACUUUAUAAGUUGAGAUAGAUAUAAUUGUUUAGUCUAAGUAGAUAUUGAAUAGAGUAUAGUUAUGUUCAUGAAUUAUUUUUACCAUGUUUUACU